UCUCCGACUGACUCCUUCCCAGAUCAUCUCGGCUUAGCGGCUGAAGACUGACACUGCCCGAUGGCCUCAGAAGCCCCCUAGACCAUCACGGACACUGAGCUUCCGGUAACUCUCACAGUGGAAGGCAUUACACCUAAAAGUAAUUUGAGCACCUUGAGCUUAGAGCCUACCUUGGCUAAUGUGAAACACUCCAGCUGUGCUAAGAUGGUCCUCAAUAGUCAACAAGCACUUCUGAAAGUCUGAUGCACUGACCAUCUAGUCCUACCUGGGAACAUGAACACCAGGAAUGCUGCUGCCUGGGAAGACUUUCACUUUCUGUUCUUUCUGCCUGAAACACUCCUUCCUGGGAAUCCACAUUAAUCCAUAUUCUUUCUUUGCUAGAGUCUGACUGAAAUAUCAUCUGUGCAGAGAGGCCUAUCUUACCACCCUAUUUUAAAUAAUACAUGUAUGUGUACGCACACCCAUGUGUAUGCACUCUCCAUCUCCUUACUUGCUUUAUUUUUCUUUAUUCACUCAUCAUCUUCUUCUAUACAUCCAUUCAUUUACUCUUCUAUCGUCUGUUUUAUACUCCUGCCCUUGAUUAGAAUAUAAAUUUCCUAAGAGUACAGACUUGGUCUGUUUGAUUCACUCUUCCAGUGCCCAAAAUAGUGUCUGACACAUAUCAAUUAUUUAAUAAUUAUUUGCAGAUAUGACAGCAUGAAUGAAUUAGAUCAGAUAAUCUAAGAACUGUUUUGCAGUCAUCACAGGGCACUGUAAUAAAGCCAUUAGAAAAAUAAUUAAUUGAGCUUGAUGAUGUAGCAGGUAGUCAUGACUGUAGCUGGCAGGUCCCAGAAGAUAGUCACAUUAACUAUGUUGUCAUGAGAACAAGCCUAGGUUGUAAGGCUAAAUCUUCUACGAUGUUGUAGAGAGGCAACCUCCCCCACAGCAGGAAAAGCCACCCCUUUAAUAUUCAUUAUGAAGCAAAGAGACUAAGUGAAUAAUUUACAUGCUACCUGUGUUCUCCUCCAUGCUAGCCCUGAUAUAUUUUCAAUAUUCCAUUCCUCUUGCUCCCUCAGCUCUGUUUCAGGCAGCAAUUUCAUGCCACGCAGAAUAUGAAUCUAACAGGUGAAUUUCCAUCCAGGGUCCAAUUCUCUUACUACUGAUGUGGAGAAAACCGUAAACAAAGCCACAGUAAAGCCUCCUUUUUGAGGCUGAGUAAAGCCAGAUGAAAGGCAAGAGAGACUCAGCAAAACAUAUUUAGGAGAUGGGAAAAUAAAUAAAUUCCUUUAAAAGUUGCAUAAUGUUCAAUAGCAUGUAUCCACUGUUACGUAUUCAAUCUUUACCUUGUUGAUGCAUUUUCCAGCUUACUUUUCAUUUUCUUCCUCGGCAAAGCUGCAAUAAACAUUCUCCUAU
rnacentral:lncRNA from 10 species